AUGGGUAUUAAAGAGGGCAAGUACUGAAUGGAGCACUGGGUGUUAUACGCAAACAAUGAAUCAUGGAACACUCUAUCAAAAACUAAUGAUGUAAUGUAUGGUAGUUAACAUAACGAAAAAAUUUUAAAAAUCCUAAAAAAAAAAGAAGAAGUGCUAGGAUUCCUUUAGGGGUGCCUGAGUGGCUCAGUUGGUUAAGCAUCCAACUCUUGGCUUCAGCUCAGGUCAUGAUCUCAGGGUCAUGAGAUCGAGCCCCACAUCGGGCCCCCACUCAGUGGAGAGUUGGCUUGAGAUUCUCUCGCUUCCUCUCCUUCUGCCUCUCCCACGUGCUGUCUCUGUCUCUCUCUAAAAUAAAUAAUUUUUUUUAAGAAAAUGCUAGGAUUCCUUGAGCAUUCUGAGCUCAGUGUUUCCUACCAUCCAGUCCUGUACUUGCUCUGAAGUAUCCUAAGCCUCAUAAAAUUAUCACCUCUCUCUUUCUCAGUCGACAAACAUUUUUAGCUUCAACUAUAAUUGUAGUGAUACGGUGGCCUAAUAACGGAGGGCAUAAGAAUAAAUCUAGACCCUCAAGAUUGACACUAGUAAGAAAGCCACCUUGCUUGGAAGGCUAACUGAAAUGUCUUGGCUCCAAAACUUUGUUUCUGCAGCUUCACCUUUUCUUUGAUUGGCAGUAAUUGCUGCCAGUAUUGUAGGGUUGAGGUGCAAAAUGUCAUUCCUUAACAUUCUAACCCAAGCUUGGAAAAUCAACGCCUCUUUUACUGCCCGACAGUACAGCUGAGAUAGCUGAGAUGAUAACAGUUUUUUAAAAAAAUAUAUAUAUAUAUAUACUUAACAAUUACAACUUUUCUGACACCAUGCCAGCCCUUUAUAAGUAAUAUUUCUUAUUUAAUCCAUUCAGUGUAACUACAGUGAGCUACCUACUAUUACUUCCCUGUUUUACAGAUGAGGAACAGAGAGGUAGAAUGUAAGUAAUGUAUCUGUUGGUUACACAGCUAGCGAAUGACAGAGCCAGGAUUCCCACCCAAGUAGUCUGACUUCACUGUUUGUCCUUUCAACGCUGUACUACUAUAUUAGUUCUUAAGACAAUUUACUAAAGUCUGUAAGGAUUCAAAAACAAAUCCAUUGUGUGAUUUGUAACUAGAUAUUCUGGCUAUGGCCCUGUUCUAUCUACAUAGUAACCUAGGAAAAAAGAUGUUUCCUGUUAAGUUCUGCCCUAGCACCAGAUCAUGGUUGUGUUGGUACCUAUUACCCAAACAUAAUAUACAGUGCCUGGAAGUCUACCUUCCUCAAAGACCAGACCCAAGCAGCUACAGCAAACAGUAGAGCCCCUAACCCAUCUACCUAAAGCCUAGCUUCCUUGUUUCCUGGCUGACAGCUAACUCAGAUGAAUGAGGCUGACAGUGACUUCCUUGUUCAUGCCUAAGAACAGCAGCCUCAAAAGGCAUAACUUUAGUCUUGUGAGUUUAACAGCAAAAAUAUAGCAGAAUAUAAUGCAGUUGCAGCAUCCCUAAAGAAAGGUGCAUGCAUGUAAUACACAUACGGAGAUUGGUUUUGCCUGUUCAUACUUGAUGAUUAAUUUUUGUUAGUAAAAUCUUAAUGACCACCAUUUCCAAAAUCAGUCUUUCCUGUAGUGUUAACCAUUUCUGUAAAUCAUUUAGAAAAUAAGAGUAGCUACCAAUUUUUAAUUUGCUUAUUAUUUAUAUUUUAUAUAAAACUUUGGAAAUAUAAAAUUCUGUAAAGCUUUUUGUUGUUUGUAAAAAAUAAUCCUAAAAUGUAUGUCUUUUUUAAACUGUUAAUCAAAUUUUUCAUGAUACCUUAUGAAUAAAAUAUGGUCCAGAUGCUAGCAUUGUUUGGUAGAGUUUGAAACUAUAUGAACCUUUUCUGAAGAUUGUUAAUUCUAUUUCAUUGAUUCUAUUUCAUUGUGAAAGUAGAUUUCUAGCUGGAUUCUAUAGUCUACAAGCCCAUAUCCCAUAUUAUUACUAAUUUUCAUAUAGAAGAAAUGAUUACAUGAAGCUGUGAGGGGGAAAUAAUAACUAGAGAUUAAAAUAUAAACAUUCAAAAAUACAGUAACUUAAUGAGCAUUGGGUCAAAACAAGUAGAAAACUUGGCUCCAUUUAAUGAGCACCUCCCAAGUUCCAGUCACUAUAGAUAUUCUUCAGGUGGUAUUUGUAAACCUAGGGAGGAUUGUACCUCCAUGGUCCUUUUAAUCUCUCAGAUUCUGGGUUAGGACAAACAUUUUUCUGGGUUAGCAGUUUCUUGGGUAAUGACUAAUUUUCUUUUCUAGCAAAAACUGAAGUAAUUUUUGAAGUCAAUUUAAAUGAAGUCCCAGUGUUUCCUUUUUUAAAUUAAAGAGUUCUAAUGCAACUUAAAUAGGUUCUUGGUCAUUAUAUUCUAAAUUACUAAUUCAUUAAAACCUACAAUUUUAAAUCUGCUCAAGCCCCCUUAUUCUUCAAGAAAAGAGAUUGAGCCUCAAAGAAGUUAAGUUGCACAUCCAAAGUAAUGUUUCACAGUAAUGACCUGGUCAGGACCAGAAUCCAGGUCUCUUGACUUGACUUGAUUUUACUAUAGCAUGUCUCCACUCUCAUGCUAUAAGUUCUCUUUUUCUUGUGCUGUCUUCCCAAUUCUUUUAUAUUUACAAGUUGAAAAAGAAAUUCUCAGAGGUCCAUUUGGAGCCUGCAAUGUGAAUAAAAAGAAGUUCAUCUUUAUAUUUAAUCCACAAUAUGGCUAUUGAAGAAUAGAAGAUCAUCUUGAAAGCGAUGAUGAGUUCAAGUGUGUAGUAAUACCAUUUUUACAGGUAAAAUUACUCUUAAUUUGUGAAGAACUAAAUUUCACAGUCGGGUACUUGACAACCGUUAUACAAGUCUGAGGUUUUCUAAUGAAUUCUUUUUCUUUUUUCAGGAUGAAUAACAUCUGAAUGUAUUCAUCAGUAUGGCAUAAUGUGUAUUGGAUUUUAAUUUUAUUUCAGAAUGUAUUUUCUAUCAAAUUUCAUAAUAAAAUCUCAGCAAGGUCUGUUUGUCUUUUAUAUCACAGUACGUCCUGUGGAUGCAUUUCUUUUUCCAUAGAACCGUCUUUUUCUUACAUUGGAAGAAUGUAAAAAGAUCUUUCCAGAAAUAACUUAUUGUUUGAUUCCUAAUAUAAAGUAAAUUAAUCCAAAUUAAAUUACUGAAAUAAUUUCUUUGUCAAGUAUUGUUCACGAAGAUGGCACUGAAGGCAAAAGAAGGAAGCUGCUGACCCUCCCAAAGCUGAAGCCAAAGCAAAGACUUUGAAGGCCAAGAAAGCAGUGCUGAAAGGUGUUCACAGUCACAAAAAAGAAGAAGAUCUGCACAUCACGGCAUUCCGAUGGCCCAAGACACUGCAUUCUCCAAAGGCAGCCCAAAUAUCUCAAAAGAGCACCCCCAGGAGAAACAAGCAUGACCACUAUGCAAGUCCCCCUAACUACUAAGUCAGCCAUGAAGAAAAUAGACAAUAACACAACUUGUGUUCAUUGUGGAUGCCAGGGCCAACAAGCACCAGAUCAAACACGCUGUGAAGAAGGUCUUUGACGUUGUGGCCAAGGUGAACACCCUGAUUAGGCCCAGUGGAGAGAAGAAGGCAUAUGUUCAACUGGCUCCUGACUGUGAUGCUUUGGAUGUUGCCAACAAAGUUGGGAUCACCUAAGCUGAGUCCAGCUGGCUAAAUCUAAAUAUACAUUUUUUUAACCAAAAAAAAAAAAAAAGGUGGCAUGUUCUACCAUUAUUUGCUGUAUUAGUUUGCAAGUAGCUGCCGUAACAAAAUACCAAAGAUUGGGUGACUGAAACAACAGAAAUUUAUUUCCUCUAGAAUAGCUCUGGAGGCUAGAAGUCCAAGAUCAAGGUGUUAAAAGGUUUGGUUUCUUCUUGGCUUGCAGAUGGCUGCCUUUUCAUUGACUCUCAUAUAAUCUUCCUUCUCUGCAGGUGCAGCUGUGGUGUUUGUGUGUUUAAAUUUCCUCUUCCCGUCAGAUGAGAUGAGGUGUACCACUAAUGGCCUCAUUUCAGCUUAAUCACCUCUUUUUAAAAGCCCUGUUUCCAAAUACCUCAAAUUCUGAGGAAUUGAAGGUUAAUGCUUCAACAUACAAAUUUUGGAGGAACAAUUCCGCAUAUAACACUUAGGGUUUUGUAACAUCUUUUAUUCUGUAGAAAAUGCUGCAGAGUUUAUUAUGAUAUCCUAGACAUUAAGUUUUACGAAUUUAUGGGAAGCAAAUAGAAAUGGGAAAAAUAUUGAAGACUAAAGCUAUAAGAGUUCAAGAAUUAGAAGAACGUGCUAUAGCUGAAUCUUUAAGAGAAACUUUAAAGAUUCCCCUUCAUUUCAGGUAAUGGAUAUGUGUUCCAUAUUUCAAAAGUGAUCUAUUUGAUGAAUAGGCCUGUGUUUAAUUUGCCCUUUUUUUCUUUAUUUGUGAGAAAAUUCAGCUUCUUUCUGUAGAAGUAAAAUUCCAUUGACAGUUUGUGUUCAUUUAUUUAUUCAUUCAUCACCAUGCUCAUUGACCACACAUUGUUAUACACAUACACAGAUGCAGUAUUUUGCAAGAUAAAUAUUAUCUCCAAACUCAUGGAAUUUAUAUUCUAACAUGGGAGAUAAACAUUGAUAGGUAUUGAUAUUAUUAGUUCUAAUUGGCUAUUAAAAUAUUGUGUGAUAAGUGGCAAGAAGUUCUACUUCGUCUCACUUGCCCUUGGAUUCUUUGCCAUAUCUCAUAAGCUGAUUUUUAGUCUUGUUACUAUUCUGAUUUUUAAAAUUUAAUAUGCAUACAUUUCAACAUUUUGCUUGAAAAGAGUGGUAUUGGUUCUCUGCAGGUGGUGGAAAAACUGAUAUUGUCACCUCCUUUUAAUUAUUGAACCUCAUAAACAAAGAUUUGGUUUUUUGGCAUCUUCAUACUGCCAUAAUAAGUCCUUUUACCUGUUAUUCUUGGUAUACUGUUUCUGAUAAAAGUCACAUUCCAAAAAGCAGAAAUUAUACUUCUGUUUUCCUUUCUUUUAAGAAACCUUCCCUUAGAAAAAUAAGAUGUGGAACACAGUAGAUGGAAAAAUUAAAGCAAAAUUAUAAAACAGCUACCUAAUUUCAAAGAAGCAAUAUGAAUCUCCAUAAUUGAGAAACUUUACAAAGAUUUGUACAGUGGCGAAGAACUGAAAAGUAUCAGCCAUGACAAAACUGUCAUCUGUGGUACAGGGGUCCAAGCAGUGCUCUUGAGAUUUGUUUCUCUCCUUGCUGUUGAAACUACCAUUGCAGACAUGAUUUGUGAUCAUGCAUCACUUCAUUUAUUCGUACCAAGCAAAUGAAGCUCUUUACUGCUUACUCAGCCAGUCAGCUUGAUAUCUUCAUUCCAGUUUAUAAGAAGGGAGUAGAGACUCAGGUUUACAGCCUGCCAAGACAUAUCUCUGAUACCAGUUUUCUUCAGAUUGAAGAAACUGUUGUCAUUUCCGUCGUUUCUGCUGUGGACAAAGGCAUAAGAAAAGAGAGCUAGUUUAUAAUCUCUAGUGACAAAAGAUUUCAAAACUAGGAAGAUAUUGAGUACAGGGAGCAAGAGUUGAAGAAGAGAAAAACAGACAACUUAAGGGUCUUCCAAGAAUGCAUUCAAAUCUUAUGUCUUCAGUUUGAAAGCCUCACUGGGAGUUGAGUAACUUCAAAGCAUGAGCAGAAGUUUCUUUAUACAUGCAAUGAAAUCAGCUGACAAGGUAACUGGGUUGGCAAGUGCUUCUGAGACUCCUAAGAAGUAAAAAUAUGAUCACCAAAAAUUGCUGGAUAAAGUCUACAACUGCUUCAUCCACAGAAUUAUACUAGGGUACAGAGUAUAUGCUAGGAGAACUGAUCUGCCUCGUGUGGACCUGCCAUCAAGGAGGUUGACUAAACAGACCUGAAAACAAGUAUAUUCCCUAGAAGUCACAAAAUUAAAAGAUAAAAAUAUAUGGCCUAAAUUUCAACUUUAGAUCUUAGGUUUGGGGCUUAGCCUCCCACAGAAAACAGCUGUGAAACUAGUCAAAAUAUAUCAGCUCUUUCUAGGCGUUGAGCAACAGGCAAGUCUAGGGCUGCCAUCCUUGAGAGAAAGGAAGAAUACAAGGUGAGCUGCAUGACCUCCUCGGGUUUCUGUGGUGGAACAGUUUCCUUUUGCAGGGCAGGGUGGGUGGAACUCAGGAGGAGCUGCAGUCUCAUCAAGCUAAGGAGGCAGAGAGUGGCAUUCUGGGCUGCUAAAGUGACUAGAAUUUGUGAGAUACUGUACUUGAGAGGAAGGAACUUCACAGAGGAGAUUUCCUAGAGUUCUGGGGCUGGGGGGGGUGGAGCUUAAAUCAGGUUCAACUCCAGGCUAAAGCUAUACCUGAGCUGGGCAAGACUCUAAGGCCUAGCAGCACCCACCUGCUAUGAGUCUGAGAGCUGGCAAGGAUACCAGCAGUCAUGCAGGGCCCGGAAUUGUUGCCAUUAGACGUUGCUGAACACCUUGGUCAUUCUGGGUAUCCCAGAAAGGCCACUCCAUAAGAGUAAGGAUCACUUCUUAGCAUAAAUGCCGUAUCCUAGAACUAAAUUCAAACUGAAAUAGACCUACCCUAACAAAGAAUAAAACCUGAUAAAACCAAGGAUCCACCAGUAAUUUAACAGCAAGACAGAGCAAAGCUCAACACCUACUAAGAUGCAUGAUAUAAUACAAACUCCAUUCAACACAUUAUCCACUCUGCCUAGUAUCCAAUCAAAAGUUCCUAGGCAUGUGAAAUAAAGAUUCAAAAUCAAAAGUAGAGAAAAUGUGACCCAUAAUUAAAAAUUAAAAAAAAAUUAGUAGAAACAGACUUAAAGAUGACCUAGAUGCUGUAAUUAGCUAAGGAUUUUUAAAGCAGCUGCUAUAAUGUGUUUUAGUACUGAAAAGAAAAAAAAAAUGGUCACAAUGAGUGAACAGAUAGAGAAUUAGAGAAUAGCAGCAGCAGCAAAGAGAAAAUAGCAACUUUAUAAUGAAUAAAAUGAAAAUUCUAGUACUGAAAGUUCAAUAUCUGAUACAAUAAAAUUACCCAGAUAAGUCCCUAUCCCGGGAUAGAAACUACAGAAGAAAGGGCUAUGGAACUUGACAGCAGAUAAAUACAAAUACAGUGUGGAAUGCCGAGGAUCUAAAUCCUUCCCCACCCCCUCCUUUUGCUCUUCCCCUUGCCAUAAGUGUUCACAAAAAAUAGAAAGUUACAUUCAAAAGUAGGCAAUAAUCAGUCUGGCUUUAGAUUUCUUAGCUACACACAAUGCUAUAAGAAAAUGGGACAAAUUGAGUUUUGAGGGGAUAUAGUUGUAAGCUGGGACUUGUACAUGUUACCAAAUUUCUCUGAUCCCUGUUUGUCUUUGUUUUCAGCUAAACAAAAGUUUGUAAAAUACUAUGUUCAUAUGCCUUUCUUUUAAACUUAAAAAAAAAAAGCUACUUCUUAAAGACAUACUUUAGAAGACCUUGGGGUUUGGGGAAGUUGUACUAGAAAUGAUUGUCCCCUAUGGAACGCUCUCCUAAGGAAAUAAUCAAAAUAUAUGAAAAUAUUUUUGUACAUUUUUAUUGCCUUAUUUAUUGGAAAACUUAUUGUUCAGUAAGUGUUCGUAUAAAUAAAUAUGCAGCCAUUAACAUAUACUAACAACUGAGGAAAGAAAAUGUUUCUUUUAGUAGUGGAAAAAAGUAGGAUACAGAUUUGUAUAUUACAUAAAAUGGAUAUUAAAAAGCAGGAAAUAUGCAAACAUCUUGCCUCUUGAUUAUGGGCAUUUAUGGUGGCUAUAUUUUCUGUUUCUAUAUUUUCCAAAUUUUCUGUAAAGAACACACAAGUCAAAAAAGCUUAAAGAUAAAAUGCAUAUGUAUGAGAGGACAGUUAGAAGAUGUUAAUCUAUUAAUGCCUGUGAAUCUAUUGAUUAAGACUGUGUUUUUCAUAUAAAAAUUCUAAUUUUAUACAUUGAAGAAAAAAAUGUAAGCUUUAAAAUAUUUGGGAAGAAGAUAAAGAACAUUGUCCCAAGUGAAGGAUGCCUUACACAGAAGUUUAUACCAUGUAAUUUCAUGCAUAUGAAGUUCUAGAAUAGGCAAAAUUGAUUGAUGGUGAAAAAAAAAAUCAGAACUGGAUAUUUCUAGAGAUGAGGACAGGAUUGGGAAGAAUAUGCAUGACCUUUCUUGGAUGUUGAUGAAUUUCUAUAUCAUGUUAAGGGUUUGAGUUACAUAGGAGUGUACAUUGUCAAAACUCAAUAGGUAUUUAAGAUUUGUUCAUUUGUAUGUAAAUUUUACAGCAAAAGAAAAAAUACUGUCAACAAACGAGUGGGGAACAUACAGUUUUGUGAAAAUGUACGAAGUCUGAGUUACUCCUUGCUGGCUUUAUCUUUUACCCUGGAACAUGGGUGUUCCAGGGUAAAAAAGUUACAAGUGCAGUGUACUCUAAUUGGCACCUUGUGCAUGCAUCUGUUAGUACUUGGUACAUUGCAGUGGAGUUAUUUCAUUCCUCCAAGGGGCUGUGAACUCUUGGAGGGCAGGAAAUCCCUGCCUUCUGGCACGUGGCUGGCGUGUGCCCAAUAAAUAUUUAAUAGGUUAGUAAGUAUCCCUCUGCCUUUGUCUCCACCUCUACAUGUAACAAAAAUAUUUUUCUCUUCAUUAAAAUUAUUAGUUCUGUAUCUUUUUUAUAAUAUUAAUUGGUAAGUGGAAUUAACACAAAAUAACAAAGGUUAAUAUUUUAACAUUGUCAUUUCAAGUUCUUUGUUCAAGGAAAUUGCUCAAAAUUAUAUCAAGGUGUUAUAGCAGUGUGGCUUAAAUAUUUUGAACACUGUGAUUGAGUUUGUGGUCAGGUUGUGGGUCUCCAGUUGCAAA